rnacentral:misc_RNA from 1 species
GUGAAUCAUCAAAUCUUUGAACGCAAACUGCACUCUCUUCGGAGAGUAUGCCCGUUCGUGGGUCAGCCUAAAAAAAUCUGACAUCGUCGCUGUUUCGCGGUGGUGUUCGUCGGUAAUUGGGUUAUCUUAACUCUUUGGUUUAAGCGACUUAAACUUUUCUUUACGAUUACAUGACUGUUUCCAAGAUUUAUUUCAUUACACGCUCAAGGUAUCGAUUUCAU